GAUGAACGCUGGCGGCGUGCCUAAUACAUGCAAGUCGAGCGAACGGACGAGAAGCUUGCUUCUCUGAUGUUAGCGGCGGACGGGUGAGUAACACGUGGAUAACCUACCUAUAAGACUGGGAUAACUUCGGGAAACCGGAGCUAAUACCGGAUAAUAUUUUGAACCGCAUGGUUCAAAAGUGAAAGACGGUCUUGCUGUCACUUAUAGAUGGAUCCGCGCUGCAUUAGCUAGUUGGUAGGGUAACGGCUUACCAAGGCAACGAUGCAUAGCCGACCUGAGAGGGUGAUCGGCCACACUGGAACUGAGACACGGUCCAGACUCCUACGGGAGGCAGCAGUAGGGAAUCUUCCGCAAUGGGCGAAAGCCUGACGGAGCAACGCCGCGUGAGUGAUGAAGGUCUUCGGAUCGUAAAACUCUGUUAUUAGGGAAGAACAUAUGUGUAAGUAACUGUGCACAUCUUGACGGUACCUAAUCAGGAAGCCACGGCUAACUACGUGCCAGCAGCCGCGGUAAUACGUAGGUGGCAAGCGUUAUCCGGAAUUAUUGGGCGUAAAGCGCGCGUAGGCGGUUUUUUAAGUCUGAUGUGAAAGCCCACGGCUCAACCGUGGAGGGUCAUUGGAAACUGGAAAACUUGAGUGCAGAAGAGGAAAGUGGAAUUCCAUGUGUAGCGGUGAAAUGCGCAGAGAUAUGGAGGAACACCAGUGGCGAAGGCGACUUUCUGGUCUGUAACUGACGCUGAUGUGCGAAAGCGUGGGGAUCAAACAGGAUUAGAUACCCUGGUAGUCCACGCCGUAAACGAUGAGUGCUAAGUGUUAGGGGGUUUCCGCCCCUUAGUGCUGCAGCUAACGCAUUAAGCACUCCGCCUGGGGAGUACGACCGCAAGGUUGAAACUCAAAGGAAUUGACGGGGACCCGCACAAGCGGUGGAGCAUGUGGUUUAAUUCGAAGCAACGCGAAGAACCUUACCAAAUCUUGACAUCCUUUGACAACUCUAGAGAUAGAGCCUUCCCCUUCGGGGGACAAAGUGACAGGUGGUGCAUGGUUGUCGUCAGCUCGUGUCGUGAGAUGUUGGGUUAAGUCCCGCAACGAGCGCAACCCUUAAGCUUAGUUGCCAUCAUUAAGUUGGGCACUCUAAGUUGACUGCCGGUGACAAACCGGAGGAAGGUGGGGAUGACGUCAAAUCAUCAUGCCCCUUAUGAUUUGGGCUACACACGUGCUACAAUGGACAAUACAAAGGGCAGCGAAACCGCGAGGUCAAGCAAAUCCCAUAAAGUUGUUCUCAGUUCGGAUUGUAGUCUGCAACUCGACUACAUGAAGCUGGAAUCGCUAGUAAUCGUAGAUCAGCAUGCUACGGUGAAUACGUUCCCGGGUCU
rnacentral:rRNA from 1 species